rnacentral:rRNA from 1 species
GACGAACGCUGGCGGCGUGCUUAACACAUGCAAGUCGAACGAUGAAGCUGGAGCUUGCUCUAGCGGAUUAGUGGCGAACGGGUGAGUAACACGUGAGCAAUCUGCCCUUGACUCUGGGAUAACUGCGGGAAACUGUAGCUAAUACCGGAUACUUUCACCGGGGGGCAUCCUCUGGUGAUGAAAGAAUUUCGGUCAAGGAUGAGCUCGCGGCCUAUCAGCUUGUUGGUGAGGUAACGGCUCACCAAGGCGACGACGGGUAACCGGCCUGAGAGGGGGGCCGGUCACACUGGGACUGAGACACGGCCCAGACUCCUACGGGAGGCAGCAGUGGGGAAUAUUGCACAAUGGGCGCAAGCCUGAUGCAGCAACGCCGCGUGAGGAAUGAAGGCCUUCGGGUUGUAAACCUCUUUUAGCAGGGAAGAAGCGAAAGUGACGGUACCUGCAGAAAAAGCACCGGCUAACUACGUGCCAGCCGCCGCAGUAA